AUGGAAGACGUAUACGUCGUCGUCACCAUCGGCCUCGGCUCGCCCAUAAACGUACCCGCCUUCACCGCCGGCGUCGCCAACCUAAUCUCCCCCUAUUCACGCUUCCACUGCAUUCAGGUGACCGAGGGUGGCAACCGGCGGUGGGCACGCGUGAAGGUGAACGUGGACGAGCACAUCGUCGUGCCGGAGCUGGAUCCCGUCGCCGUGGCCGCUAACCCGGACCGGGCCGUGGAGGACUACGUGGCGUCGCUGUCCGUGUACCCGAUGGACCCUUCCCGUCCGCGCUGGGAGUUUCACCUCCUCGACUUCCCGACCUCCGAGCCCGGGGUGGUCUCCACCGUGGCGAUCCGCGCGCACCACUCCCUGGGCGACGGCGUGUCGCUCAUGGUACUCCUCCUGGCGUCCGCGCGGAGCGCUGCCGACCCGACGAGCCUGCCGGUCAUGCCGCAACAGUCCGUGCGUACGGGCGCCAUCUACGCGCGGCAGCCGCGGCAUGCCGGCGCCCUGGCGCGGGUCUGGUCCUGGUUCGUGCUCAUGUGGCACACCAUGGUGGAUCUUUGCUUCUUCUCCGCGACGAUUUUGUUUCUCAGAGACCCGCACACGGUAUUCAAGCCUGCGGCCGACGACGGCGAUGAUGAUGGUGAUGGUGUGUUCCACCACCACAACCGCCGUUUUGUGCAUCGAAGCCUUAGCCUUGACGACGUCAAGUUCGUCAAGAAUGCCAUGAACUGCACUGUAAAUGACGUGCUACUCGGAGUAGCUUCUGCCGCUUUAUCUCGAUAUUACUUUCGCAAGUCUGGUGACAUUAACACCAAGGAAAUAUGUCUUCGAUCAGUCCUUGGUGUCAAUAUAAGGCCAACAACUAGCCUACAAACAUAUGUUAAUAUGAUCAAAUCUGAUAAGAGUAAUGAGGUGGCAUGGGGAAAUCAACUAGGUCAGAUCCUCUUGAAGAUUCAUUUAGCCAUGCACGAUGAUCCACUUGCAUACGUUCGCAAGGCAAAGGAGACCAUGGAUAGGAAAAAGAGCUCACUCGAAGUGGUGUUCACACAUAAGACAAGUGAAUGUUUCCUCAAAAUGUUUGGUCCAAAGGGAGGUGCUUUUAUCUUUGGUCGAAUGUUCACAAAUACAACCUUGUCAUUCUCAAACAUGAUUGGACCAGCUGAACAAAUAGAGCUUUAUGGGCACCCAGUUGUCUUUAUUGCACCUAGUGCCUACGGAGUUUCACAAGCUCUGAUUGUGCACUACCAAAGUUACAAUAGCAUUAUGAAGGUAAUCUUAUCAGUCGAUGAGAAAACAAUUCCAGAUUAUCAUCAACUUCUGGAUGACUUCUCUUUAUCUUUUGAGCAUAUCAUGGAUGCGACUUCGAGACUUUUGGCAUCCAUCAAGAAAGAGUAA
rnacentral:rRNA from 1 species